rnacentral:rRNA from 1 species
AUUGAACGCUGGCGGCAUGCCUUACACAUGCAAGUCGAACGGCAGCACGGGAGCAAUCCUGGUGGCGAGUGGCGAAUGGGUGAGUAAAGUAUCGGAACGUGCCCAGUCGUGGGGGAUAACGUAGCGAAAGUUACGCUAAUACCGCAUACGAUCUAUGGAUGAAAGCGGGGGAUCGCAAGACCUCGCGCGAUUGGAGCGGCCGAUAUCAGAUUAGGUAGUUGGUGGGGUAAAGGCUCACCAAGCCGACGAUCUGUAGCUGGUCUGAGAGGACGACCAGCCACACUGGGACUGAGACACGGCCCAGACUCCUACGGGAGGCAGCAGUGGGGAAUUUUGGACAAUGGGCGAAAGCCUGAUCCAGCCAUGCCGCGUGCAGGAUGAAGGCCUUCGGGUUGUAAACUGCUUUUGUACGGAACGAAACGGUGAACUCUAAUACAGUUUGCUAAUGACGGUGCCGUAAGAAUAAGCACCGGCUAACUACGUGCCAGCCGCCGCGGUAA